rnacentral:misc_RNA from 1 species
CAAAUUCUCCAAAAACUGUGCCAAAAAAAGAGAAAAUAAAAUCAUUAUGCAGGUGAAAGAAAUUUCAGUCAAUUAAUAAGAAGAGGCUGCAGUCUUUAAGAGGGAAAGCUAAAAGUAAGCAAUAGAGAGACUCCUGUGCCAUGCUUUUCCUCCCUUUCUAUUAUUGGAUCAUUGAAAUUCUUUUGGUAUGCAAUCUAGCCUGGUCAAGAGUGCAACUGAGUAGGAAAUACAUAUUGUGAAUUGAUUUUUCUGUUAUGCAUAGAAGAGGAUAGGCCAAGAGAGAGAGAAAGAAACGAUUACCAGUAUCUGAAUCAUGAGGCCCGG